GUCCAUCGCUAAAUCAUUUUGCCUAAGGCAUUAUGAGGUGUAGCGUAUAAGCCGUGAUUUUUGAUCAGUUUUCUCAAACAAGUCCCCUUGACAGGGGUUCCAAAGAAGGUGCAAGUCCUGUACAUUGAGAUUAUUGGUUGAUAUUUGCGUGCUUUAGAGUCGGGUUGCUUGGGAUCGCAGCCCAAAGUCGGUGGUAAACUUCAUCUAAGACUCAAUAUUGCCACGAAUCCGAUAGCAAACAAGUACUGUGAAGGAAAGUUGCAAAGCACUUUGAAGAGAGAGUUAAAGAGGACGUGAAACCGGUGAGGUGGAAACGGAUAGAGUCGGCGUAUCUUGUAAGUAUUCAUUUACAUUCAGCUGUAUUUUUUAGCUUUGAGCUCCAGAUUGGGACAGAGUUGAAUUAUAUGAUUGUUUGUGAUGCAUUUACUUGCUUGGUGCGUGGGGAUUUCUGAGACAGAUUUGUAACCUUCAUUUUGAGGCCAGCUUGCUGGUACCCAAAUGUCGUUAGCAAUUUUUGUUUUAGUUGUAAAAAAAGUAUGGCUUUUCGUUCAUUACGUGGAUCGUUCUGGGUGUAAGUAACGGUCGCAUGCGACACGUGCUUUUCAAUUAGUUCGGUCUGUUUAAUGUUCUCAUACUUGUUCCCCAUGUAAAAGCCGGUCAUCUAUCCGACCCGUCUUGAAACACGGACCAAGGAGUUUAUCGUGUGCGCAAGUUUUUGGGUGUUUAAAACCUAAAGGCGAAAUGAAAGUAAAUGACUCUUCGAGUCUGAUGUGCGACCUUUCACUAUUUUGAAAAGUGCAGCAUGGCCCCAUUCUAACUGUUUACAGUAGGGUGGAGGAAGAGCGUACGCGGUGAGACCCGAAAGAUGGUGAACUAUUCCUGAGCAGGACGAAGCCAGAGGAAACUCUGGUGGAAGUCCGAAGCGGUUCUGACGUGCAAAUCGAUCGUCUGACUUGGGUAUAGGGGCGAAAGACUAAUCGAACCAUC
rnacentral:rRNA from 1 species